UACGUAGGUGACCAGCGUUGUCCGGAUUUACUGGGCGUAAAGAGCGCGCAGGCGGUCGUUCAAGUCGAGUGUGAAAGCCCCCGGCUCAACUGGGGAGGGUCAUUCGAUACUGAUCGACUGGAAGGCAGGAGAGGGUAGUGGAAUUCCCGGUGUAGUGGUGAAAUGCGUAGAUAUCGGGAGGAACACCAGUGGCGAAGGCGACUACCUGGCCUGUUAUUGACGCUGAGGCGCGAAAGCUAGGGGAGCAAACGGG
rnacentral:rRNA from 1 species